rnacentral:piRNA from 1 species
AGGGAACCUGUCAAUCUUGAUCACCAUU